rnacentral:misc_RNA from 1 species
CCAAUAGCGUAUAUUAAAGUUGUUGCAGUUAAAAAGCUCGUAGUUGAAUUUCGGGAUCAAUAUAUCGGUCGUGCCAUUGGUACGUACUGGUAUCAUUGGUUUCUCCUUUCUGACGAACCAUGAUGUCAUUAAUUUGGUGUUAUGGGAAGUUAGGACUGUUACUUUGAAAAAAUUAGAGUGUUUAAAGCAGGCUUUAGCUGGAAUACAUUAGCAUGGAAUAAUGAAAUAGGACGUUCGAACCUAUUUUGUUGGUUUCUAGGAUCAACGUAAUGAUUAAUAGGGAUAGUUGGGGGCAUUAGUAUUCAAUUGUCAGAGGUGAAAUUCUUGGAUUUAUUGAAGACUAACUACUACGAAAGCAUUUGCCAAGGAUGUUUUCAUUAAUCAAGAACGAAAGUUAGGGGAUCGAAGACGAUCAGAUACCGUCGUAGUCUUAACCAUAAACUAUGCCGACUAGGGAUCGGAUGAUGUUAAUUUUUUAAUGACUCAUUCGGCGCCUUACG